GCCGGGAUGGUCAAUCCUCCAUGGUAAGGAGGGGGUCGACGGUUCGAGUCCGUCAGAGGGCU
rnacentral:tRNA from 1 species